rnacentral:lncRNA from 1 species
UGUGUUUACGAUUGAAUUGAAAAAAAUGGAGAUUAAAGGAAAACAGAAAAUUGCGUGAUUAAGUAAAUGGAUGAAACGAUAGCCUUACUGGAUAUCUUGGGAGAUGGUGGACAGACUGGAUACAUAGAGAACCCUACCGUGAACGUUGCCUCAUAUCGAAUGGGGUAUCGAAGUUUGGUAAUUUGGCAUUCAUACCGGACGGGGUAUGGGGACGGCACGUUUCACCCUCAUGUCGGAUGAAGUAUCGAGGUUUAGUAUUUUGGCACUCAUACUGAACAGGGUAUGGAAAUAUUAAAGGAAAGGGAUUCAUGUAUUGUAGAGACAUCCCAUGAACCUCUAUGGAUACCAGUAGGCUGAUAAAAGAUAAAAUUAUUAUUUAAAUCGAUUACAUAUGAAAUCAUGAUCUGUGUUAUAUU